AUCUUCCUCCAGUAGUGAGGUAUCUCAGUUGACUCUUCACAGUUAGUUACAGAUCAAACUCCUUGUUCUACUCUUUCCCUCCUCACUACUGCACUUGACUAGCCUUUA
rnacentral:sRNA from 1 species